rnacentral:tRNA from 1 species
GCCGAAGUGGUGGAACUGGUAGACACGCAUGAUUCAGGUUCAUGUGCCUUAACGGGCGUGGGAGUUCGACUCUCCCCUUCGGCA